GUCGACGCUUGUUAAGCGUGCAAGUUGCACGAUAGAGAUUGGAGUGACGGCGCGAAAAGACUCCAGCGCUCACCUAUCAUGCUCCAAAGCCUGUUGUUCUUGGGAAAUCAAUAUCUGAAAGGUGCAAGGAUUUCACCCAGAGCUUCAGGCAUCGCUGGCUACUCAUUCAACGUGUGUUUGACCAGAUUCAAUUGGAAGCACAUGGUUGCUGAGAAAUGAGCUGGGAGAAGUGACCCCUUUAACCUCUAAAGUUUCUGAAAGGAAGAAAAAGCAGGAAAGUGGGAUCUCGUUGGCAUGAGGAGAUAGUGUGUGUGUGGGAUUGGUGUGGUGGGGGAAAUUGGGGAGGUGUUGGUCAGUCAAGUGGGAAAAGGCCUCAGUUUUUCAUUUCAUCAAGCAAUAAAACCCCCAAGCCCUUGUGGCCUUUAUCUGUGCUGUGAUCUAAGUACAUUAUAAGGCUGAAACUCAAUGUUGAGAAAGCAGCUGGAGGAAGUGAUGAUUACUACAGAAAGUCCAGGCAAAGUAAUGAGAAAGUAGCACCGGAUACCAUCAAAACCAAUUAAAUUCAUCCA